UACAGAGGUCUCAAGCGUUGUUCGGAUUCAUUGGGCGUAAAGGGUGCGUAGGCGGCGCGGUAAGUCGGGUGUGAAAUCUCGGAGCUUAACUCCGAAACUGCAUUCGAUACUGCCGUGACUUGAGGACUGGAGAGGAGACUGGAAUUUACGGUGUAGCGGUGAAAUGCGUAGAUAUCGUAAGGAAGACCAGUGGCGAAGGCGGGUCUCUGGACAGUUCCUGACGCUGAGGCACGAAGGUCAGGGGAGCAAACGGGAUUAGA
rnacentral:rRNA from 1 species